AGGACAUGCUCCGUUACAGCAUCUGUUCACAAAAGUGAACAAGAGCUCAGAAAUGAGCAUAGGGUACAAGAGCAGCAGGUAGGCUUACAAAAACUCGGCCUAACAAGAGAGAAUGCAGUACAGUACAGUCAAGUACCCAGUACCCAGCAAAAGGAAGAAGAGCGAACUUGAUGCUGCAGCUUGUGGGUGUAGUACCGUUCAUACAGACGGACUGACGGACAUGUCCAGAUCGAAGUCUCUCAUCAUCCUAAUAUACCCUUUUUACUCUACAGGUACAGGGUAUACGUUUUCUUAGAAUUGACCGAUGAAGAUGAAAUUUAAAACAACAAUAUAAUUUUAUAUAGAUUAUGCGUGGUUAAUUUAGCUUUCGAAAUGUAGAUAUUAUUGACAAAAUAAA